rnacentral:snRNA from 1 species
UCGCUUCAGCAGCCCAUAUACUAAAAUGGGAACAACACAGAGAAGAUUAGCAUGGCCCCUGCACAAGGACGACAAGCAAAUUCAUGAAGCAUUCCAUAUUUAU